rnacentral:rRNA from 1 species
UUGACCUCAAAUCAGGUAGGACUACCCGCUGAACUUAAGCAUAUCAAUAAGCGGAGGARAAGAAACUAACAAGGAUUCCCUUAGUAACUGCGAGUGNNNNNNGAAAAGCUCAAAUUUAAAAUCUGGUGGUCUUUGGCUGCCCG